ensembl:piRNA 21ur-1634 ncRNA
CAGAAAAGGUGUUGUACAACA